CUGCCGUCGGUGUGGUGGGGGGCUUAAAACACGUUGCCACAGGCCAUCAUCAGCUCUGCUCUGAACCGGGUGAUGCCAUGCUCCUUCAGUGCUUUGAUCAAAAGCUGAAAAACAGUCAAAUAAUGUGAACAAUUGAAGUUAUGCAGUAUGGGUUAAUUGUUGUUCUUGAGCUUUCCAAAUGAAUAAGAACAACCUCUUAACAAUAUCAUCAAUUUUCAAAGCAAGCUAUAUAGUUUGAUCUACUCACCUCUGGGAGCAUGACGUCAAAAACGAAAUCAAGCAGAUGAAUCUCGCCUCUCUUUAUUUUUUUAGAAAUGUUUGUUGCCACCUCAAUGAACCGCAGGAGCUCGAACAUCUAUUGAAGAAAAACACAGAAAGUAAACACCUUUCAAAUGUAACACCCCUGAGAGUAAAAAUACUCAUGAUGGAUGGCAUUUUUACUUACGCGCUGCUCACUCCAACUUAGUGUCCUUAUCUUAAGAUGCUGCUUUAGUCGGAGUGAGGUGGCGGGAUUCCUCCAAAGGAACAUUCUGUUGGAGCGGAUCUUUCCAGACAGUAGAUCAUCGUGUAAUGUCUGAAACCAAAGAGCAAGAGGCAAAAAUGUAAUCAUCUGAAAAAGAAACGGUGGCUUUAACAACUGAUAGUGCAUUCAAAAGCAACCUUGAUCUGUGUCUUAGAAAAGACAGCAUGAAUUCCUCAACUGUCAACAGCAUCCUUGAUCC